rnacentral:sRNA from 12 species
CCUCCGGACUGUUAUACAACCUGAGUAGCAAGUGCGAAAAGGAACAGGAUGAACGAGGAA